UAGCACGGGGAGCUUGCUCCUGGGUGACGAGCGGCGGACGGGUGAGUAAUGUCUGGGGAUCUGCCUGAUGGAGGGGGAUAACUACUGGAAACGGUAGCUAAUACCGCAUAACGUCGCAAGACCAAAGAGGGGGACCUUCGGGCCUCUUGCCAUCAGAUGAACCCAGAUGGGAUUAGCUAGUAGGUGGGGUAAUGGCUCACCUAGGCGACGAUCCCUAGCUGGUCUGAGAGGAUGACCAGCCACACUGGAACUGAGACACGGUCCAGACUCCUACGGGAGGCAGCAGUGGGGAAUAUUGCACAAUGGGCGCAAGCCUGAUGCAGCCAUGCCGCGUGUAUGAAGAAGGCCUUCGGGUUGUAAAGUACUUUCAGCGAGGAGGAAGGCGUUAAGGUUAAUAACCUUAGUGAUUGACGUUACUCGCAGAAGAAGCACCGGCUAACUCCGUGCCAGCAGCCGCGGUAAUACGGAGGGUGCAAGUUUUUAUCUUAAUUACUGGGCGUAAAGCGCACGCAGGCGGUUUGUUAAGUCGGAUGUGAAAUCCCCGGGCUCAACCUGGGAACUGCAUUCGAAACUGGCAAGCUUGAGUCUUGUAGAGGGGGGUAGAAUUCCAG
rnacentral:rRNA from 1 species